GGGCAGGCGGGGCGCAGAGCGGGGGAAGAAGGUGGGGUGGGGGCUUAAAUCGGAAGUACUGGGCGUAGAGGGUGGCAGGGGGGCCGCGCAAUGGGAGUGGGAAAGCCCCGGGCUUAACUUGGGAAUUGCGCUUGAAACUACGGGGCUGGAGGGGGGCAGAGGAAGGGGGAAUUCCAGGUGUAGCGGUGAAAUGCGUAGAGAUCUGGAGGAACACCGAUGGCGAAGGCAGCCUUCUGGGCCAACACUGACGCUCAUGCACGAAAGCGUGGGGAGCAAACAGGAUUAGAUACCCUGGUAGUC
rnacentral:rRNA from 1 species